AGGAAGGAGAGUCGUAACAAGGUUUCCGUAGGUGAACCUAUGGAAUGAUCACUG
rnacentral:rRNA from 1 species